rnacentral:rRNA from 1 species
UUGGGCGUGCCUCCACCCACGCCGGCGUCGGCGGGCGUAUUUCGCCUCACAGUAGGUCGCCGCGACCCGUUGCUUUUGGGGACGUCGAAGGCCCGGACGGAUUGGUACCCUACCGGCUGGGGAUGCGGCUUCGGCUUCUCCUCUUGUCCGGUGGGCGAAACCGCCGGUGUCCUGGCUGCCCUGCGACGGUCGUAGAGACGAGCCCUCCCCUUCGGGGGGGCGGCUCUCGCGGCGUGCAAAAGGUCGGUGAUCCACCCGACCCGUCUUGAAACACGGACCAAGGAGUCUAACAUGUGUGCGAGUCAGUGGGCGCACUAAACCCAGAGGCGUAAUGAAAGUGACACGGGUUCGGCUGUCGCCUCGUGUGGCAGCCGGACUCAGGGCCGAUCCCUCACCGGUUGCCCUCGCCUCUCUCCCGCGUCUCGGUAAGCCGGGUGAGCUAUUUUCCCCGGCCGCUGCUGCGGGGCUCGGGGGGAGGCGGGGUGCGAUGGUGUCUGUAAAAAAGAGCCUGCUGUUGCAGGGGGGCGCAGGCCCGGGACUUGCCAGGACGCCGCGAGACUGUCACUUUGCUGUGAGGCUCUCGGGCCGAUCAGCGGGUCAUGCGUGCAGUCGGCAAGUACCAUGAGCAGACAUGUUGGGACCCGAAAGAUGGUGAACUAUGCCUGGCCAGGAUGAAGCCAGAGGAAACUCUGGUGGAGGUCCGUAGCGAUUCUGACGUGCAAAUCGAUCGUCGGAGCUGGGUAUAGGGGCGA